AGGCAGUGUAGUUAGCUGAUUGUUUCCGUCCCUCUGCAAUCACUAACUUCACUGCCAUC
rnacentral:pre_miRNA from 1 species